UUCGGAUGGAUUUUGGGAUAGUUUAGUGGCGGACGGGUGAGUAACACGUGAGCGACCUGCCUUUGAGAGGGGAAUAACGGCUGGAAACGGUCGCUAAUACCGCAUAACGUACGGAUGGGACAUCCUGUCUGUACCAAAGAUUUAUCGCUCGAAGAUGGGCUCGCGUCCGAUUAGGUAGUUGGUGAGGUAACGGCCCACCAAGCCGACGAUCGGUAGCCGGACUGAGAGGUUGAACGGCCACAUUGGGACUGAGACACGGCCCAGACUCCUACGGGAGGCAGCAGUGGGGGAUAUUGCACAAUGGGGGAAACCCUGAUGCAGCGACGCCGCGUGUGGGAAGACGGUCUUCUGGAUUGUAAACCACUGUCCCCAGGGACGAAAAUGACGGUACCUGGGGAGGAAGCUCCGGCUAACUACGUGCCAGCAGCCGCGGUAAUACGUAGGGAGCAAGCGUUGUCCGGAAUUACUGGGUGUAAAGGGAGCGUAGGCGGGGAUGCAAGUUGGGUGUCAAAACUACCGGCUCAACCGAUAGUCGCACUCAAAACUGCAGCUCUUGAGUGAAGUAGAGGCAGGCGGAAUUCCUAGUGUAGCGGUGAAAUGCGUAGAUAUUAGGAGGAACACCAGUGGCGAAGGCGGCCUGCUGGGCUUUUACUGACGCUGAGGCUCGAAAGUGUGGGGAGCAAACAGGAUUAGAUACCCUGGUAGUCCACACCGUAAACGAUGAUUACUAGGUGUGGGGGGUCUGACCCCCUCCGUGCC
rnacentral:rRNA from 1 species